rnacentral:tRNA from 1 species
UGGCUCAAUGGUAGAGCGUUCGACUCAAAUACCAAAGGUCGUGGGUUCAAAUCCCAG